AGUGGCGAACGGGUGAGUAACGCGUGAGGAACCUGCCUCAAAGAGGGGGACAACAGUUGGAAACGACUGCUAAUACCGCAUAAGCCCACGGGUCGGCAUCGACCAGAGGGAAAAGGAGCAAUCCGCUUUGAGAUGGCCUCGCGUCCGAUUAGCUAGUUGGUGAGGUAACGGCCCACCAAGGCAACGAUCGGUAGCCGGACUGAGAGGUUGAACGGCCACAUUGGGACUGAGACACGGCCCAGACUCCUACGGGAGGCAGCAGUGGGGAAUAUUGCACAAUGGGGGAAACCCUGAUGCAGCGACGCCGCGUGGAGGAAGAAGGUCUUCGGAUUGUAAACUCCUGUUGUUGGGGAAGAUAAUGACGGUACCCAACAAGGAAGUGACGGCUAACUACGUGCCAGCAGCCGCGGUAAAACGUAGGUCACAAGCGUUGUCCGGAAUUACUGGGUGUAAAGGGAGCGCAGGCGGGAAGACAAGUUGGAAGUGAAAUCUAUGGGCUCAACCCAUAAACUGCUUUCAAAACUGUUUUUCUUGAGUAGUGCAGAGGUAGGCGGAAUUCCCGGUGUAGCGGUGGAAUGCGUAGAUAUCGGGAGGAACACCAGUGGCGAA
rnacentral:rRNA from 1 species